rnacentral:rRNA from 1 species
UACAGAGGUCUCAAGCGUUGUUCGGAUUCAUUGGGCGUAAAGGGUGCGUAGGUGGCGCGCUAAGUCAGGUGUGAAAUUUCGGAGCUUAACUUGGGAACUGCCGUUGAUACUAUCUGUCUUGAAUAUCGUGGAGGUGAGCGGAAUAUGUCAUGUAGCGGUGAAAUGCUUAGAUAUGACAUAGAACACCAAUUGCGAAGGCAGCUCGCUACACGAAUAUUAACUCUGAGGCACGAAAGCGUGGGGAUCAAACAGG